CAGCAGCCACGGGAAUACGAGGGGGGCAAGCGUUGUUCGGAAUUAUUGGGCGUAAAGGGCGCGUAGGCGGUUUGACAAGUCUCAUGUGAAAUCUUCGGGCUCAACUCGAAGUCUGCAUGGGAAACUGUCGGGCUUGAGUAUGGGAGAGGUGAGUGGAAUUUCCGGUGUAGCGGUGAAAUGCGUAGAUAUCGGAAGGAACACCUGUGGCGAAAGCGGCUCACUGGACCAUAACUGACGCUGAGGCGCGAAAGCUAGGGGAGCAAACAGGAUUAGAUACCCCCGUAGUCCCUGUCUCUUAUAC
rnacentral:rRNA from 1 species